rnacentral:tRNA from 15 species
GUGGGCGUAGCUCAGCUGGUAGAGCACCGCGUUGUGGUCGCGGGGGUCGCGGGUUCAAGCCCCGUCGCUCACCCCA